ACAUGUGAAGAACAUGCAAGAUUGUUGCAUAGAUGAAGACAAAGGUUUGGAGAUUUAGGAAGCUUGCUCAAGAUCAUAAUGUUGAGGAACCAGCCUCCUUAGUUGCUUCUGAUUGUAAACUAGCUGUGAGAAGGGCACCACUCUGCUACAAAAGCAAUCUUAGAAAUUAACCAGCACAAAGAUCAUCCAUGACUAGUUUAGCUAUGGGACAUAGUUAAAGAAACAAUCGGGGCAUUUGAACAUCGUUUAAACAGAAAUUUCCCAAAUUGAAGCACAAAGAGGAAAAAGAGUCUCAAAAACCCAGAAAAUUGAAGAACUGUGGACAAUAUCAAAAGGGAUUCAUUUGGAAGGAGUGCAUUUUUAUCAGAGAGACUGAAAAGCCUUUGAGAAUCAGUUAAAAAAAGGAAUGCUCAUGAGAGUCACAGUGGUUCCCUUUGCUUCACUCCCUCUCUCUCCAUGCUGUAUUCUAAACCUUCCAAAGACUAAAAGACAUGGGCAUUUGGUAAUUUUUAAAGUAUUUUCUUCAUUUGUAAGAGUGAAAUGGAAGCUCAUAGAAGCCAGGUGAUGGCAAGCGCUCACAAGUUGGAUGAAAGGACAGCAAGUAGGUGAGGCAAAGCCCUGAAUGCCUUAAGUAGCUCAUCCUGGUAACCACACGAAGAGGCUUCUGGUGAAAGGGAAGAAAAGAUUGCUGCCAAUUUCUAGGGAAGCUGCCCAGAACUGCUGCACACAGGUCCACUGAGGACCAACUUAGGUUUCUACUCCUGCAACCAAGAAUGACAAGCUCCCACUUACAUUGCUGGCCUACAUGUUUGAAACCUUCAAGCACUCAUGGAGUACAAACAUUUACUCUCUGGCUAUGUGGUAUUAGUGCUGCCUGUGACCAAAGGAUGAAAGAAAGAAAAUAAGUUUAAAAAGAAGCAAUGAGAGAAGCCAGAUGGCUAUGCAUCUAUAGAAAAAGAGGGGAAUUUUAGUGGUUCUAGGGGAAACAAAGAUAACAAACUAGGAAAGCAAUUCAAGAACACGCAGACCAAGUAGCAACAUACAUGAAAGCACAGCAUGAAAGAAGAUCCCUUCAUAUGAAAGUUAAACAUUGAGAAGACGAUUUUAUGUGGUAACUUAAAACUAUUACCCCCUUGUAUGUUUUCUCCAAGAGGGUAGUAAGGACUUAUUUAAAACAGAAGCAUUAGAAAUAAGAUUCACCAAUAAGAUAGUUGAAACAAUAUAUAGACAUUGAGACAAAAUUCUGAGCAUAUUUUACCUAUAUAUUAAGCCACUAUAAAAAAUUGUGACACUUUCA